UACGUAGGCAGCAAGCGUUGUUCGGAAUUACUGGGCGUAAAGAGUGUGUAGGCGGUGUUCUAAGUUUGUCGUGAAAUCUCCCGGCUUAACUGGGAGGGUGCGGCGAAAACUGGAAUGCUAGAGGAUGGGAGAGGUAAGCGGAAUUCCUGGUGUAGCGGUGAAAUGCGUAGAUAUCAGGAGGAACGCCUGUGGUGUAGACAGCUUACUGGACCAUUUCUGACGCUGAGACACGAAAGCGUGGGUAGCAAACAGG
rnacentral:rRNA from 1 species